rnacentral:misc_RNA from 1 species
CGAAACCAGUAGAGAAUAGGAUUGGAAGUUUCUUAUUCAUGAAGUAAGUAGAAUACAAACUAGAAAGACAUUUUGAAUUAAAGCUCUUAUUUCAGUGGAAAUUAAAAGAAGUAGUAGCAGCAGCAGCAUAGAUUUGAUAUAUCCUUAAUGCUUAAUUAGCUUCUGUUUUGAAGGGCUCCAAUGAAGCGUGGUACACUGAUUUCUUGCUGAGGUAAUGUGGCAUAAAAUCGAUUCCCCAAUGGAAGGGUUUGAACUGUGGAGGAUUCUCAGGACCAACAAGUGCUUUUGCAGGUUCAACAAUCUCAUGUGGGCAAAUAAAAGUACCAAUGGAGGUUCGUGACUCAGUUGUGUUUGUCACCACACGAUGUGCAACACUAGUUAGCUUUCCAUUGCUAUAUACCGUAAUUGGUAAACCAGAAUUAACCACAAAUGCAUUGCGAAUAGGCUGCACACCAAUCCAUUUGUCAUCCUUCAAUAUUUGAAGACCAUAGACUUCUUGUUGGAUAAUGGUUAUGAGAUUAGGAUCACAAUGUCCACCAACUCCCAAAGUUAAACUUGGAUCUGGACAUGCUGGAUAGUGAUUCACAAGCAUUCUCUGCCCAAGUUCUUUGUCAAAGAACCCUGCCUCCAAACCUAGCCCUUCACUUAACAUACCCAAGAUAACUUUGCUCACCCUUCUCAAUUCAUCACCAUAGGCACCAAUAACCUCCCUAUAUCUUGGAGGGUUAUCGGGCCAAGUUUUUUUGUCUUCUCCAUCAAGAUUGCAGCUAUGUUCCAACACAUCUCUCCAGUAACGAUGCUCCUCUGAAUCAUAAUGCUUAGCACUGCUACUGUACAGUGUAGCUGCACCCCUAUUGGUAUUAUUAGCUGCAUCUUUUGCAUAAUUUUCUUUUUCUUCAG